rnacentral:rRNA from 1 species
UCGAGGGGCAGCAUGGUCUUAGCUUGCUAAGUUUGAUGGCGACCGGCGCACGGGUGAGUAACACGUAUCCAACCUGCCGAUGACUCGGGGAUAGCCUUUCGAAAGAAAGAUUAAUACCCGAUGGCAUAGUUCUUCCGCAUGGUGGAACUAUUAAAGAAUUUCGGUCAUCGAUGGGGAUGCGUUCCAUUAGGUUGUUGGCGGGGUAACGGCCCACCAAGGCGACGAUUGGUAGCCGGACUGAGAGGUUGAACGGCCACAUUGGAACUGAGACACGGUCCAAACUCC